CUCAUUAAUCAGAGGGAGUGUCAUUGGCCAAAGUGCGCUAUAGCUGGGAAGAGGCAGGUGAAAACCCACUGCAAACGGCGAUUAAAACAUCGUAUCAGAACCGGAGACAGCAUCUCUACUACAAAAAGGACUCGAGGUCUGGCUGCAAGAUGAAUGGAAGAAUCCUCUUAUUUUUCCUUUGGAUAACGUUUCUUGGAGCUCUGUGUGGAC